CGGAAGUGCCUUUCCGAACUGGACCGAUUGAUGCGUGAGAACACCAAUCAUCCCAGCCCAGAGGGCACUUUCCUCAUUCCGACACCCCUAUACAACCAGGUCAGUCGGUGGAACGAG
rnacentral:sRNA from 1 species